GGUCGAUUAGCUCAGCGGUAGAGCAGAGUCUCGAUAAGGCUUUGGUCAUAGGUUCGAAUCCUAUAUCGACUA
rnacentral:tRNA from 1 species